GGUGUGGCACUAAAGGAAAACGAGAUGCUGUUGCCAGAAGAAGGUAGCAUAUCAAUGAAUACAGGCAUACCUUGGAAAAAUUGCAGGUUCAUUUUCAGAUCACCACAAUAAAGCGAAUAUCACAAUAAGACAGAGAGGCUGGAAGUGUUC